rnacentral:rRNA from 1 species
UACGUAGGUGGCAAGCGUUGUCCGGAAUUAUUGGGCGUAAAGCGCGCGCAGGCGGUCCUUUAAGUCUGAUGUGAAAGCCCACGGCUCAACCGUGGAGGGUCAUUGGAAACUGGGGGACUUGAGUGCAGAAGAGGAGAGUGGAAUUCCACGUGUAGCGGUGAAAUGCGUAGAGAUGUGGAGGAACACCAGUGGCGAAGGCGGCGACUCUGGGCUGGUACUGACGCUGAGGAGCGAAAGCGUGGGUAGCGAACAGG